UACAGAGGGUGCGAGCGUUAAUCGGAAUUACUGGGCGUAAAGGGCGCGUAGGCGGGAUAUUAAGUUAGGUGUGAAAUUUCUGGGCUUAACCUGGAGACUGCACUUAAUACUGAUAGAUCUAGAGUAGAGUAGAGGGAAGUGGAAUUUCCGGUGUAGCGGUGAAAUGCGUAGAUAUCGGAAAGAACACCAGUGGCGAAGGCGGCUUCCUGGACUCAUACUGACGCUGAGGCGCGAAAGCGUGGGGAGCAAA
rnacentral:rRNA from 1 species